GACCCAAUAGCUCAGUCGGCAGAGCACUUGCCUUUUAAGCAAGGUGUCCCGCGUUCGAAUCGCGGUUGGGUCACCA
rnacentral:tRNA from 1 species